UACCGAGGUUUUCCUCGGCAGUUAACUGCCGCCGGUUUACUAAAAACUUCGGCAGUUUACUGCCGAAGGACAU
rfam:Medicago truncatula strain A17 chromosome 7, whole genome shotgun sequence.